GAUGAAGAACGUAGCGAAAUGCGAUAAGUAGUGUGAAUUGCAGAAUUCAGUGAAUCAUCGAAUCUUUGAACGCACAUUGCGCCCUUUGGUAUUCCUUAGGGCAUGCCUGUUCGAGCGUCAUUUACAAAUUCAAGCUCAGCUUGGUGAUGGGUGUCUGUCCCGCCUUUGCGCGUGGACUCGCCUCAAAUGCAGUUGGCAGCUUAUCCCUCGGCUCUAAACGCAGCAGAUUUGCGUCGAGCGUCGUGUGGACGGGCUCUCCAGUAAGCAGACCCCCCAAAAUUGACCUCGGAUCAGGUAGGGAUACCCGCUGAACUUAAGCAUAUCAAUAAGCGGAGGA
rnacentral:misc_RNA from 1 species